rnacentral:lncRNA from 10 species
GAAAGGGAGAGAGAGUGAGAGGAGGUGCCAUGUUUCACGGAGUGUAAGGGAGGACUUCUCUGAAGCUAAACUUCAAAGUGAGAUCUGAAGACAGCAAGGAGACAUCUGGAUCCCAGGGUUCAAUCAAGAAAUUCAAGAAAAUGAAGUGAAUCCUGCAAAGGAGGCCAAGAACCAGCCCAUGAAGUUGAGAACCAAGAGAUGGUGGUCUUGGACAUCAAAAGAAGAGAGGCCACAGAGAAGAAGGAGUGAUCUGACCACUGCAUCGAAUGCUGCUGGGAGGUGGAGGAGGAUGAGCACUGAGAAGUGACUGCCAUGCAUCAGUUUGCAGCAUGAUAACCAUUGGUGGCUCUGACGGGAGUGGAGUGAUGGGGCAGAAACCUAACUGAAUGAGUUUAAGAAAUAAGGCAUAGCACCCAUCACACUGACUGAGUCAUCCGGAAAAUGUGAGAAAUCACUUAAUAAAGAGCUGCCCUGGGGAAAUGGACAGGAAGUAAAAAUGGCCUUGCUGAGUAAAUUAAAUUUAUGUUCAAGUGCUAUUUCUCUAUGGCACCGGGGAACAAGCAUUUCCAACAAUAGCGCUAUUCACAACAGCAAAGACACGGAAUCAACCUAGAUGUCUAUCAACAGUGGACAGGCUAAAGAAAAUGCGGUACAUAUACAUCAUGGAAUACUACGCAGCCAUAAAAAGAAUGAGAUCAUGUCCUUUGCGACAACGUGAAUGGAGCUGGAGGCUAUUAUCCUAAGCAACUUAACACAGGAACAGAAAACCAAAUGCUGCAUGUUCUCAUAAGUGGAAGCUGAACAUUGAGUACACAUGGACACAAAUAAGGGAACAACAGACCCCAGGGCCUACUUGAGGGUGGAGAGUGGGAGUUACCUGUUGGGUGUUACGCUGAGUACUUGGGUGACAAAAUUAUCUGUAUACCAAACCCCUGCAACGUGCAGUUUACCCAUGUAACAAACCUGCACAUGUAUCCCUUGAACCUAAAAGUUGGAAAGUUUAAAAAAAGAAAAAAGGGGUACAAGGAAAUGAAGGAUGCAGGAUUCAGUAUUAUUAUUACCUAAUAAGUGGGGAAGGAAGGGAAAAUUAGUUGUGAGAGGCGACCAUACCAUUGCAUGUAAACUCAUAGAGGCAAAGUAGAUUCGUAGCCACUAAGGGCAAAGGGGUGGGGAACAAGCAAUGACUGCUAAUGGGUACAGGUUUUUUUGGGAGUGUGACGCAAAUGUUCUGGAAUUAAAUGGUCGUGAUGGCUGCACAACUUUGUUCAUACAUAAGCCCCACUAAAUUGUGUACUUAGGAAGAUGAAUAUUGUGAUACAAGAAUUAUGUCUCAGGUUUUAAAAACAGGAAAAAUCUCAUUAUAAAACUACAGUAAUUAAUAAAGUGUGUUUUGAUUUAAAGAUAAGUAAACAGAUGAAGAGAAAAUUAUAGAGUCCAGGAUUAGAUCCACAGAUAGAUGGCCAGUUGAUUUUCAACAAAGGUAAAGAAAGGAUAGUAUUUUCAACAAACAAUUCUGGAAAAACUGGAUGUAUGUAUGCAAAAAAAAAAAAAAAACCCAAAAAACCCUUUGACACAUACUUUGAACCAUAUACAAAACUUAACUCAAAAUGGAUCAUAGACCUCAAUGUAAAACCUGAAAUUAUAAAAGUGCUAGAGGAAAACAUACCAGAAAACCUUUAUGACCUAGGGUUGGGCAAAGAAUUCUUAUGAACAGCACCAAAAAACAUGUUCCCUUUUAUUUAAAAAGAAAUUUUCAAAAAAGUAAGGAUAAAUUGGACUUCAUCAAAAUUAAAAACCUCUCUUUAGGCCAGGCACGGUGGUUCACGCCUGUAAUCCCAGCACUUUGGGAGGCCAAGGUAGGUUUAUCACCUGAGGUCAGGAGUUCGAGAC